UGCCGUUGUCUGAGAAAAUGUUGCGUGU
rnacentral:sRNA from 1 species